CAUGCAAGUCGAACGGUAGCACAGAGAGCUUGCUCUCGGGUGACGAGUGGCGGACGGGUGAGUAAUGUCUGGGAAACUGCCUGAUGGAGGGGGAUAACUACUGGAAACGGUAGCUAAUACCGCAUAACGUCGCAAGACCAAAGAGGGGGACCUUCGGGCCUCUUGCCAUCAGAUGUGCCCAGAUGGGAUUAGCUAGUAGGUGGGGUAACGGCUCACCUAGGCGACGAUCCCUAGCUGGUCUGAGAGGAUGACCAGCCACACUGGAACUGAGACACGGUCCAGACUCCUACGGGAGGCAGCAGUGGGGAAUAUUGCACAAUGGGCGCAAGCCUGAUGCAGCCAUGCCGCGUGUAUGAAGAAGGCCUUCGGGUUGUAAAGUACUUUCAGCGGGGAGGAAGGUGUUGUGGUUAAUAACCGCAGCAAUUGACGUUACCCGCAGAAGAAGCACCGGCUAACUCCGUGCCAGCAGCCGCGGUAAUACGGAGGGUGCAAGCGUUAAUCGGAAUUACUGGGGCGUAAAGCGCACGCAGGCGGUCUGUCAAGUCGGAUGUGAAAUCCCCGGGCUCAACCUGGGAACUGCAUUCGAAACUGGCAGGCUAGAGUCUUGUAGAGGGGGUAGAAUUCCAGUGUAGCGUGAAAUGCGUAGAGAUCUGGAGGAUACCGGUGGCGAAGCGGCCCCUUGACAAAGACUGA
rnacentral:rRNA from 1 species